UGGGGAAUAUUGCACAAUGGGCGAAAGCCUGAUGCAGCAACGCCGCGUGAGGGACGACGGCCUUCGGGUUGUAAACCUCUUUUAGCAAGGAAGAAGCGAAAGUGACGGUACUUGCAGAAAAAGCGCCGGCUAACUACGUGCCAGCAGCCGCGGUAAUACGUAGGGCGCAAGCGUUAUCCGGAAUUAUUGGGCGUAAAGAGCUCGUAGGCGGUUUGUCGCGUCUGCUGUGAAAACCCGAGGCUCAACCUCGGGCCUGCAGUGGGUACGGGCAGACUAGAGUGCGGUAGGGGAGAUUGGAACUCCUGGUGUAGCGGUGGAAUGCGCAGAUAUCAGGAAGAACACCGAUGGCGAAGGCAGAUCUCUGGGCCGUAACUGACGCUGAGGAGCGAAAGGGUGGGGAGCAAACAGGCUUAGAUACCCUGGUAGUCCACCCCGUAAACGUUGGGAACUAGUUGUGGGGUCCAUUCCACGGAUUCCGUGACGCAGCUAACGCAUUAAGUUCCCCGCCUGGGGAGUACGGCCGCAAGGCUAAAACUCAAAGGAAUUGACGGGGUCAUAGCUGUUUCCUU
rnacentral:rRNA from 1 species